AGGGAUCAUUACCGAGUUUACAACUCCCAAACCCCUGUGAACAUACCACUUGUUGCCUCGGCGGAUCAGCCCGCUCCCGGUAAAACGGGACGGCCCGCCAGAGGACCCCUAAACUCUGUUUCUAUAUGUAACUUCUGAGUAAAACCAUAAAUAAAUCAAAACUUUCAACAACGGAUCUCUUGGUUCUGGCAUCGAUGAAGAACGCAGCAAAAUGCGAUAAGUAAUGUGAAUUGCAGAAUUCAGUGAAUCAUCGAAUCUUUGAACGCACAUUGCGCCCGCCAGUAUUCUGGCGGGCAUGCCUGUUCGAGCGUCAUUUCAACCCUCAAGCACAGCUUGGUGUUGGGACUCGCGUUAAUUCGCGUUCCUCAAAUUGAUUGGCGGUCACGUCGAGCUUCCAUAGCGUAGUAGUAAAACCCUCGUUACUGGUAAUCGUCGCGGCCACGCCGUUAAACCCCAACUUCUGAAUGUUGACCUCGGAUCAGGUAGGAAUACCCGCUG
rnacentral:rRNA from 1 species